GCCCGAUAGUAAACUUUAAACUACACCCUCAUCGCCAGAGAACUACGAGCAAAGCUUAAAACUCAAAGGACUUGACGGUACCCCAUAUCCCCCUAGAGGAGCCUGUCCUAUAAUCGAUAAUCCCCGUUUAACCUCACCACCUCUAGCUUCCCAGCCUGUAUACCUCCGUCGUCAGCUUACCUCGUGAGCGAACCUUAGUGAGCUUAACGUCCACACGUCCACACGUCAGGUCAAGGUGCAGUAAAUGAUGUGGUAAAAGAUGGGCUACACUUUCUAAAAUAGAACAUACGAAAGAUCAUAUAUGAAAACUGAUCAAAAGGUGGAUUUAGCAGUAAAAGAAGAUCAGAGUGCUUCUUUAAAUCCGGCACUGGGGUGUGUACACACCGCCCGUCACCCUCUUCAAAGCUUAACACUAGUACUUAACAACCUUGUGCUACACAGAAGAGGCAAGUCGUAACAUGGUAAGUAUACCGGAAGGUGUGCUUGGAAAC
rnacentral:rRNA from 1 species